GAUGAAGAACGCAGCGAAGUGCGAUAAGUAAUGUGAAUUGCAGAAUUCCGUGAAUCAUCGAAUCUUUGAACGCAAAUUGCACUUUCUGGUAUUCCGGAAAGUAUGCCUGUUUGAGGGUCAGUUAAAUAAAAAUCGGUGUUGUUGCUACCCGUAGUGGUGUUAAUGCAUCGGAAUUGAGUUGUCUUUACCUUUUUUGGUUUAAGUGACUUAAAAUUAUGUACGAUUUUUGAACGUAUUUAAAUUAUUUACGUAUGUUCAUAAUAUCAAAUAUUAGAUGCGGUCAUCCUCAUGAUUCACAUCUAUAAUUUUUCAUUAUUUGACCUCAAAUCAGGUAAGAGUACCCGCUGAACUUAAGCAUAUCAAUAAGCGGAGGA
rnacentral:misc_RNA from 1 species